CUCAAUCAACCAGGCAUUACCAAGAUUUCAGAAUUGGUGCCUCCAAUAAAAUUGUGUCAAGAUGUAAGUACUUCCUCACUUAGUCCAUGCUCCUCAGCAAUUAUCCUACAAGAUUCAGCAAAAAUACACACAAUGUCGGCAUAGCUUUCUAUAAAUUUAUGAAUGAUAACUACAGAAAAGUACAGGUACAAUCACUUAACUUAUUUAUACUCUAGAAGCAUACUUGUC
rnacentral:lncRNA from 1 species